UGGGGAAUAUUGGACAAUGGGCGCAAGCCUGAUCCAGCCAUGCCGCGUGAAUGAUGAAGGCCUUCGGGUUGUAAAGUUCUUUUAGUAGGGAAAAUUAUGAUGGUACCUACAGAAAAAGCUCCGGCUAACUUCGUGCCAGCAGCCGCGGUAAUACGAAGGGGGCUAGCGUUGUUCGGAAUUACUGGGCGUAAAGCGUUUGUAGGCGGUCAUUCAAGCUAGUGGUGAAAUCCCAGGGCUCAACCCUGGAAUUGCCAUUAGAACUGUUUGGCUAGAGAAUGUUAGAGGAAAGUGGAAUUCCUAGUGUAGGAGUGAAAUCCGUAGAGAUUAGGAGGAAUAUCGAUGGCGAAGGCAGCUUUCUGGGACAUUUCUGACGCUGAGAAACGAAAGCGUGGGUAGCAAA
rnacentral:rRNA from 1 species